rnacentral:rRNA from 1 species
UGGCGGCGUGCUUAACACAUGCAAGUCGAACGGUGAAGCAGAGCUUGCUCUGUGGAUCAGUGGCGAACGGGUGAGUAACACGUGAGCAACCUGCCCCUGACUCUGGGAUAAGCGCUGGAAACGGCGUCUAAUACUGGAUAUGUGACGUGGCCGCAUGGUCUGCGUCUGGAAAGAAUUUCGGUUGGGGAUGGGCUCGCGGCCUAUCAGCUUGUUGGUGAGGUAAUGGCUCACCAAGGCGUCGACGGGUAGCCGGCCUGAGAGGGUGACCGGCCACACUGGGACUGAGACACGGCCCAGACUCCUACGGGAGGCAGCAGUGGGGAAUAUUGCACAAUGGGCGCAAGCCUGAUGCAGCAACGCCGCGUGAGGGAUGACGGCCUUCGGGUUGUAAACCUCUUUUAGCAGGGAAGAAGCGAAAGUGACGGUACCUGCAGAAAAAGCGCCGGCUAACUACGUGCCAGCAGCCGCGGUAAUACGUAGGGCGCAAGCGUUAUCCGGAAUUAUUGGGCG